rnacentral:rRNA from 1 species
AUUGAACGCUCGCGGCAGGCCUACCACAUGCAAGUCGCACGAGUGGCGGACGGGUGAGUAAUGUCUGGGAAACUGCCUGAUGGAGGGGGAUAACUACUGUAAACUGUAGCUAAUACCGCAUACCAUCUGAUGUGCCCAGAUGGGAUUAGCUAGUAGGUGGGGUAAAGGCUCACCUCGGCGACGAUCCCUAGCUGGUCUGAGAGGAUGACCAGCCACACGGGAACUGAGACACGGUCCAUAAGCCUACGGGAGGCAGCAGUGGGGAAUAUUGCACAAUGGGCGAAAGCCUGAGGCAGCCAUGCCGCGUGUAUGAAGAAGGCCUUCGGUUUGUAAAGUACUUUCAGCGAGGAGGCGUUACUCGCAGAAGAAGCACCGGCUAACUCCGUGCCAGCAGCCGCGGUAAUUC